CUGCGUCUAACGCCGAGCGCUGCCGGCAACAGCCUGCUCCCUAAUCCCUGCUAGGGAGGAAUUGCGACAGCGCUCCUGCCUCCUCACGCUCAUUUUUGUGCGGAAGAUGACGCGGCGAUGCCCCCACAGCCACGCUGCUCGAUGCCUGCAGGUGCUGCGCGCGGUGCUGCCCGGCGGACCCGCGCCCAGGAAUCACUGUAACAGCUAUGACAUCUGACCCCUGCUAAGAACAUGUCCUGACUCACCUUGUUCUUACUAUUAAAGUUAAAGAAUUCAGGGAGACUACAGGCUGGAGAGAUAAUCAGAAGCAAAAAGUUUAAUGAGUAGAGGAAGAGAAUCUAUACGGAUAUUAAAUCUUCACCAUCAUUUUUCUCUCUUGAGACCAGAUACAAAGGCUUGUGAAGUGAAAAAAGUCCUUCCACCAUCUCAUUUGGGCUUAUGGUUUGUCUCUCAUACCUCACCAGCUGUGCUAGCAGGUCCAUUAACAUAUUUUGCUAGUUCUUAGCCUGCCUCAAGAGAAAAAAAUGCAUGCUGAAUCUUGCCCCUUCUGACUUUCCUCAGUCAAGGUGCUACUGUUCUGAGAGCCAGGCCCUCUGACUGAAUAAGGAUGCACCUUGCCUGAGACUGGAAGGGCAACAAGUGGCAGUGAAAGAAGGCGAGUUGCAGGACAGUCUGAAAACACCUCUUGACUAAGAAAAAUGUGAACUUUAGGUCAGGCUUUGAAAAAAAAAAAAAGCACAAUGCCUAGAAUACAAGCUAAGCCAUCCCUCAGUAUCUAUUCAUAUUUACUGCGGGUUGUCUUUGAGGACACUUCUGCCUGUAACAUCUUGGGAAUGACACUGGACCUUUGGAAAUCCUUAGAGCAAUAGCAAGGUCACAAGGACUGACAGGAAAUGGGAUUCUGUGCAAAUGCUGCUGCAGAAGUUGACACUGAGAAAGUGCAAAGGGGACUCUGCUCAGGGCAAAGCCUUUCUGCCUCCCUUCUCUUUUUUUUUCACUGAGCUGUUGGCAUGUGGAAAUGAUUCCAGCUGCAAGCUGAAAGCCUACAGAAAACAUUAAAACUAUUAGAAAUAUGUAGAGAUUUUAGAGCCAUGAAGGGUAGUAAUGAGCAUUUAUGUACUUCAGUAACGCCCCCAGAAAAGAUUCCCUAUUACGUUAGCUGCAGCUGUGCUUCCCCUCACUUAAUAGCCUGUGUCCUGACCAGCUCUGCAGAGGUGAGUGAGAAUAUAUGAACAGACAACACAGGAGAGAUCUAUGUGGAAUGUGAAGCAGAAGAUGGAAGCAUUAAAAAUAUGUCCUGGAUGUUGUUUGGCCCUCAUUUUCUCCUGCCAGCUGCAGAGACCCAAAGAUAAUCUUCUCCUAACACGCUCUGGACAGCAACAAGGCAUUCUUGGCAAAUCUGAUGCUGUGUUCACCAUGGAUUUUGGCAAUUACUCCAGUGUUGUUUUCCUAGGCAGCAGAUAGUAAUUACAACUCUGAGAGGUAUAAAAUGACUAGGUUCAUUUCGGCUGAAUAUUCAGCUUUAAGUCUAAAAUGAAACCCUAUAAAAUUCAACAUUAUUAGCUAUUAGGCUGUUAACAAUUUUAGCAGAAACAUCCAGCUAUUUUAGGAUUGUGAAUGGAAUUUGAAAAGGGCAUCACCAGGUUUUCUUCAACUCUUUCUUCAUACACACAGCUCACUAAGAAUAAACAGUCAGAUCUGCCUUUUGAUGCAAUGCUGUUCUGGAAUGCAGUUAAAUCAAUGAUUCUUUAAAGCAUGCUGUUUUGGUUUUUUUUUCCCUAUUUUUUUAUCCAGUGUAUGCAGUGGUAGCUGAAAAACUAAUCUUGUACUCACCUGGGCAUCUUUGUGAUAGUAGUAAAUAGUUUAUGGUCACCUUCAGUCAAAAGUGGCCUCACAUAAGAGAAUACUUUAUUUCUUAUUACCGGUGGAUAUGGCCAACAUCUGUAUUUUUUGUUGUUGUUUGUUUGAUUUCUCUUUUUGAGCUCUCCAAAACUUAAUUUCUGUUAAUGCUUCUUUUCCUCAUUUGACUGGGCUUCCAGAAGAAGAGUGCUUCAUUACCAUAGGCACUCAGUUUUAUGCCAAAUGCCAAAUUUUCUCAGGUAACAUGUUUUUGUUAGUUCUUAUGAGUUCUCAAGCUUUUAAGACGUGUGUCUCCCUCCCAAAGACCUCCUUCCAGUUUAAAUAUUGUUACUAGGCACAAUGUCCCUCAAUAGUUUUAAUUUCCCUAGAAUCCCUUUCUGAUCAGUUGUGUCAACUACACUGAUGGUAGCUAAAAAUCUUAGUUUAUCUAACAUGUCACCAUCACUCUAUUAAUUUUCCACUGCAGUGUGCUGUUUCCAUUAUAGUAAUCUAGAGGCCUGGGGAGAGAAUGAAUAUUCAGCUUUAGCCAGGCAAAGUCAGGUGUUUUUCCAAAGCUUCUCAAACUCUGGACAUUCACUUCUUUUCUCCUCACAUCAAAAUGUCACUUACGGAUAUUACUGUACUCUGUUUACCAUCUACGGUUCACUCUAUUUUCCAGUGUAGUGGGAGUGUCAAUUGGAGGAAACCAUUUGCUUCAAAGUAGUAUGCUCUCAAAAAUACUUGCUUGAUUUUUCUUCAGUUAGUUUUUAGAGUUUUUCACCCCCUAAUAGUGCCAACCGGCAACUUGCCAACAUAUUGGGUGGAUAAAAUAUUUGCCAUCUGACAGUUCUCCAGAAAUACCUCUCCUUGUGCAAAUUUUCUGCAAGGAAAGUGAUCACUCUAUGUAUGUAUUUAAUCUCCAUGAUUCUUAUCAGGUAAGAAUUUUAAGCAUUGCUGUUUUAGCACUGAUGACUGAACAGCCAACUGUGCUCUUCUAUAACAAUAAGAAUCUCAGAGCAACAAUUCAGUACUGCUUUCUCUUUAGAUGCAGAUGUAGGGGGAGUGAAAACCAGGGAAGGCAGGACUUAGCCCUUGGGCGUUGGGCCUUCAAUUCAGUCUCCUUCCUGUGGGUCAUACUCUUCUACAUCUCCACAUUUUUUUCUUCUUUCUGCUUCACUGAAGAAAGCACCCUCUUGAUUUGACCACAAGCUUGACACGGUUUUAACUCAGAAAUGGGAUCUUUUUUGUUGUUUGUACUACCUCAAAAUGGUAGGGUUAUUUUUUUUUGUUCUUUUCUUUUCCUCCUGACCUCUUAUUUCAUAUACUCACAUGGUGAAAAUCAAGUCUCAUACAGAUGCCCUAUGUUCCAUAACGCACUUAUUUCUUUUUCAUCUGUAAGUUCUUCUGUUGAUGACGCUGCAUUCAUUGCUAAUGUCCUUGUUCUGGCACCAUACUCCCUUGUACACCUAUACCCAAUUUAAAUUUAAUAACAGCCUCACAGCAUGCACUGUGAUAGUCCAUCGGUCUAUGCAGAAUCCUCCUGAGCCAGUGAUGCUUCUUUAUCCUCGCUGUGUGUACUCUUAAAAAAUGAUGUGAUUUAUUGUAGUUAUUGUAUAUUUUCCAAGUCCUCAGUGCCAGGGUCUUUAACAGAGGUCUGUUUCAUUCAACGUCUUAGUCUAACCGGUCAGCACUGUGUCACAGGAACCUCUGAGCAGCACAAUAACCAAGCCCAACUGGUCCACAUAACAAAAGGGCUUCUGUGGCAACAAGCUGCUACAGAAGAGACACUGCCAUGGAGACCAUUCUUGAUCCAGUAAGAAAGAUCUAUUGUAUUUCACAUCCCUUUGUUCUGAAAGCAGUAGGAAUUAUCUCACAACCAUUCAUCAUGAGCCAAUGAGAUAUCGCGAGUGUAAUGUUUGGGGACUGCAAAAGUGUCAAAGCUCAUAAAAUUAGUCUUCUUGGGGAAGGGAAAGUAAAAAGGAAGUGAAAUACAUGCUAUCUGCUGAACUAGAAGAGUAUUGAGAUGAGCUUGAGAAUUAAAGGGAGACCAAAUGGGCUUACCUGCACUCCCCAAGUAAUUGCUUGCUUUGGAAUGAGGUACACAUCUGCACACGAGCAGUGAGGAGACGGAAUGAAAGAAGAGAGUAAAGCUGACUUACUGUCUGCACAUUGAAUGUGGCAAGGGACUGCGCACUGAGCUUUUAAUUUGGUUAUAAGCAUUUCUGUUCUUUUUUGACAUCUAUCAACUUUUUGUUUUGUUUUCCUGAGAUGCAUCUCUGUUCUCUCUCCCCUCUUUGCUCUUAUGCAAAAGAGUACUUUGUAGGUAAGCUUGUCUUUCUAUUGAGGUGUAAUGCAUUACAUAGGGUAAGAUCCUGAGACUGACAUUUUCUUGCUAUGAUCCAAAACUACUUGUAUGUAUGCAAAACCUGCCUGGGAGCAGAAUGCAUUUGUCCAGCCUUGUAAGGCCAGACUGCAUUCCGGGAGUGGCUGUGCAGCCGGUGCGUCCACACCCUGUGUGUGCUGCCCACACGGAAAGCUGAGGCUCCUAUCUCAGAUUUCUACAUGAAAUAAUAAUAAUAAUAAUAAUAAUAAAUAUAUAUAUAUAUAUAUACACAAGAGAAUCUUAUUUGGAAACAUUUUGUAGCUCAUUUUGUGAAUUAUCUACCUUCCACUAAUUACAGUUCUGUGAGUGCAUUCAAAUCUGAUGGUAAAAACUUGCUUUAUUUUCUCCAUAGAUCCACAGGGAAAAACUUCAAUAGAAAACAGCAAAUUGUUGAUGUUAAUACUUAGUUGCUUUUCACUUUUCCUCCCUCUUUUAUUUUAGGCAUCAGACUUUCAAAGCUUAGUUCCAUGUGAAGCUCUCUCAGUUGGUAUAUGAUGUCAAACUUAUUUUUGGGACAUGUAAAAAUACUGUAAGGGCUCACUAGUCUUCUAAUGAGGUAAAAUUACUUCUGAAGGAUAAAAUUAGCAUGCUGGAACUUUCCCAACAAUUAUAUUUGUACAGCCCUACCAUGUAUAUUAUACAGCAUGCUUCUAAAAAAUCAUUACUAUGAAAUACAAAUUCUUGAUGUCUUUUUGCAAUCUUUAGUUAUUUUGAGGUACUUUUUAAUGCAAUAAUAACUUUUUCUCUCCCUCCAGAAUCUUUAAAUUUGCACUAAGAAUAAUCCACAGUGUAUAAUUUUACUAUUGCGAGAAAUAAAAUAAUUGUAAUGAAACAGAGUUCAAGAAGCUGGUUAAAAAUGAAGAAGAAAAAUAGAAAACAUAUAUAUAGAUUAUACUUCUUAAAAUAGUUUAUUUUUUCCCCAACAAUUUUUACACUUUUCAUUUAUCUUGACAACUUCUAGUGAAUGUCACCUGAGAUGAGGCAGAAAUGUGAAAUCAGGAAAUAUCAUAUUAGCCAAUUUUCCAAGAUAAAAAGAAAAAUUUAGAAGGUUAACUAACCUACAGCAGAUUGAGAAAGCAGGAUAGA